UUCAUUCCAGAUUUUCUGGGAUUGUUGUUUUAUGGUUUCAUUGUUGUUUGAACUGGUGUUCGUUAUGGUCUCUUGUGCAAAACAUUAAACUGAUUAACUUAUCCAUUAUUUUCCAGCUUUUUUAAGUGCUUAUUUUAAAAGACUUUUAAUUUCUGAAUUGAUUUUUGCAGGUUUACAAAGGUGAAGUGACCUUAAUUGAAGGGAAGUUUGCGCCUACUUUAGUUAGAGGUUGGAUCUUGGGAUGCUUUGAAUUCCAAAGGGUGGUUCGACUACAGGAUGGACUUG
rnacentral:lncRNA from 1 species